GCACUGCUGAAGAGUCUCACAAUAGGACGAAACGGCUGUGCAAUGC
rfam:Schistosoma rodhaini strain Burundi genome assembly, scaffold: SROB_scaffold0004765